AUUGAACGCUGGCGGCAGGCCUAACACAUGCCAGUCGAACGGUAACAGGAAGCAGCUUGCUGCUUCGCUGACGAGUGGCGGACGGGUGAGUAAUGUCUGGGAAACUGCCUGAUGGAGGGGGAUAACUACUGGAAACGGUAGCUAAUACCGCAUAACGUCGCAAGACCAAAGAGGGGGACCUUAGGGCCUCUUGCCAUCGGAUGUGCCCAGAUGGGAUUAGCUAGUAGGUGGGGUAACGGCUCACCUAGGCGACGAUCCCUAGCUGGUCUGAGAGGAUGACCAGCCACACUGGAACUGAGACACGGUCCAGACUCCUACGGGAGGCAGCAGUGGGGAAUAUUGCACAAUGGGCGCAAGCCUGAUGCAGCCAUGCCGCGUGUUUGAAGAAGGCCUUCGGGUUGUAAAGUACUUUCAGCGGGGAGGAAGGGAGUAAAGUUAAUACCUUUGCUCAUUGACGUUACCCGCAGAAGAAGCGCCGGCUAACUCCGUG
rnacentral:rRNA from 1 species